UUCCAUUUGCCGUCUCUCUUUCUUCGAUUUCUCUCUUCCUUUAUAUCUUUCUCUCUCUAAGAUUCUUCAGUUUUCACUCUGUAGAUCGACAUCUCCUCAAUUGGACGGAUUAGAGCUCCAAUGGGAUCGAUUCAUCUGAAAAAGAAGACGUCGUAGGAUUGAAUUCGAUCGGGGGAAUUGAAGAUUAGGGUUUCGAUUCUGGUGAGAAUGGUAUAAGGUUGGAUUUGGAGGUGGAUCUAGUGUUUGAAAUUGGUGAAUUGAUAUAAGGAAGUGGAGCAGGAUUCGGUUUCUGAAUAAGGAGACGGGAUUGAUGUUACUCGAGGGGGAAAAUGCAAGGCUAUGCAUGGGCUGGCAGGUGAGGAAAGGAAAAGGGGUCGGCACAUGUGGACAGGACCCACUCGUAGCAAUUCGGUUGUAGCUGGUGAUGUUUCCUCGUCUUCUUCUUCUGUUUUCCCGGCUAAUUCAUUUUGCAAGGAUGGGCGCAGGAUCAAUGUUGGAGAUUGUGCUCUUUUCAAACCACCCCAAGAUUCCCCUCCUUUCAUUGGAAUAAUUCGUUGGGUGACUACUGGAAAAGACAACAAGUUAAAGUUAGGUGUGAAUUGGCUUUAUCGACCUGCUGAAAUAAAGCUUGGCAAAGGCAUCCUUUUGGAAGCUGCGCCAAACGAAAUAUUCUAUUCCUUUCAUAAGGAUGAGAUUCCUGCUGCAUCACUACUGCAUCCGUGCAAAGUCACUUUCCUUCCAAAAGGUGCUGAACUUCCAUCAGGAAUUUGCUCAUUUGUGUGCCGGCGAGUUUAUGACAUUAAUAACAAGUGUUUAUGGUGGCUAACCGACCAAGAUUACAUUAAUGAACGGCAAGAAGAAGUAGAUCAGCUAUUGUGUAAAACUCACAUAGAAAUGCAUGAAACAGCGUCCCAAGGUGGGCAUUCACCAAAACCAACGAACGGACCAACAUCGACUUCACAGUUGAAACCCAGCUCAGAUAGUGUACAAAAUAGUGCCUCAUCCGUUCCUUCUCAAAUUAAGGGAAAGAAAAGGGAACGAGUUGAUCAGAGUUCUGAGCCCGUUAAACGAGAACGUUGUUCAAAGCCUGAUGAUGUUGAUUCUGGUCACUGCAGACCAGAAAGCAUUUGGAAAACUGAGAUUGCAAAAUUUACUGAAAAGGGGGGGCUUGUUGACUCUGAAGGUGUUGAAAAAUUGGUGCAACUCAUGGUUCCUGAGAGAAAUGAGAAAAAGAUAGACUUGGUGGGCAGGUCAAUACUGGCUGGUGUUAUAGCAGCCACCGAUAAGUUUGAUUGCCUUAAUCGGUUUGUGCAGUUCAAGGGUUUGCCUGUAUUUGAUGAGUGGCUGCAGGAGGUGCACAAAGGGAAGAUUGGUGAUGGUAGCAGCCACAAGGAGAGCGACAAAUCUGUUGAGGAAUUUCUGUUCAUUUUACUUCGUGCGCUUGACAAACUCCCUGUAAAUCUCCAUGCUUUGCAAAUGUGUAACAUUGGGAAGUCAGUGAAUCAUCUGAGAACACAUAAGAACUUGGAAAUUCAAAAGAAAGCAAGGAGUUUGGUUGACACGUGGAAGAAACGUGUUGAAGCUGAAAUGGAUGCAAAGUCUGGUUCUAACCAGGCUGUCUCAUGGGCUGGGAGACCGCGACCUCUAGAUGUUUCACAUGGUGGGAACAAAAAUUCUGGUUCAUCUUCAGAGGUGGCAAUUAAGAGUUCAGCUACACAACUUUCAGCUUCAAAAAAUGCUGCAGUCAAGCUUGUACAGGGGGAAACUACAACCAAGUGUGCAUCUGGCUCUCCAGGACCCAUGAAAUCUUUUCCAUCUUCUGCAUCAGCAGGUAACAGCUUAAAAGAAGGACAGACCUGCAAUAUUGGUGUCGGUGUUGCCUCUGAUCUUCCUACUGUAGCUGUAAGGGAGGAGAAAAGCAGCAGUUCUAGUCAGUCCCACAACAAUAGUCAAUCUUGUUCCAGUGAUCAUGUCAAAACUGGGGGAGUUUCUGGAAAGGAGGAUGCGAGGAGUGGUACUGCUGUUUCAAUGACUGCAAAUAAGGUCAUUGGUGCUUCUCCUCGGCAUCGUAAGUCAAUCAAUGGCGUCCAAGGUCCAACAUUAUCUGGGAUCCAAAGGGAGACUGGGUCAAGUAGGAAUUCUUCCUUGCAUAGAAGCCAGUGUGCUGAAAAGUUAUCUCAGUCCAGUUUGACAUUUGAGAAGGCAGUUGAUGUUCCCUUGGCAGAGGGUAAUAAUCAUAAAUUGAUUGUUAAAAUCCCCAACAGAGGUCAUAGUCCUGCACCAAGUGCCAGCGGUGGAUCUCUUGAAGACCCUUCAGUCAUGAAUAGUAGAGCUUCUUCUCCGGUCCUUUCAGAGAAGCAUGACCAGUUUGAUCGUACCUUGAAGGAAAAGAAUGAUGGUUAUCGGGCUAAUACUAUGUCCAAUGUAAAUAAUGAGUCAUGGCAAAGCAAUGAUUUCAAAGAGGUGCUUACUGGAUCUGAUGAGGGGGAUGGGUCCCCUGCCACUGUUCCUGAAAACUGUAGGACUGUUGAAGACACUGGGAAAUUAGCUGAUGUUCCAAAAGCUGCUUCCUCAUCAUCUGGAAAUGAACAAAAAUCAGGGAAGUUGCAUGAUCCUUCUUUGAGCUCGAUAAAUGCUUUAAUUGAAAGUUGUGAAAAGUACUCUGAAGUAAAUGCCUCCAUGUUGGCUGGCGAUGAUGUUGGUAUGAACUUGCUUGCUAGCGUUGCUGCUGGGGAAAUAUCAAAAUCAGAUAUGGCUUCUCCAAAUAAUUCUCCACAAAGAAACAUCACUGCUGUUGAACACUCUUGCACAAGCAUUGAUUCUAGACUGAAGUCAGCUUCAGGUGAUGAUUGGAGACAAACAGUUGAUGGCACUGAUGAUGAAACCGAGAAGCGGGUUACUGAUACUUCACGGAGCAAGAGCAUGGAGGAUAAAAUUGUAUCAUUGUCGGAAGAUAAAACAGUAGAUGUGCAAAAUGGACAUUCAAAUUCUUCCAAUAUGGAUGUGCAGAAAAUCAUGGAACCUUGCCUACAAAACAAUGUGAAAUCAGAGGAAACACUAGCCACUUCUGUGACUCUGCUCUCUUCAAGCAUGGUAGACAAAACAUCAACUAAUGCUGACAAAGAAACAUGGGAGGAGAAGGCAGAUGACAUAUCUGAUACAAAAGAUAAGUUGCACAGUUGUAUUCGAAGUGUGGAUAGGGUUGACGUGUCAAGUUUAGAAGGUAGGACAGAACCUAUUGAAGGAUCAUUGCCUUGCCCAUCAAUGGAGAUAGAAGGUGGCAACAGGAAAAACAUGAACAAACAGUUUAACAUUACCGUGAAAGCGGAGCAAAAAUCUCCUGCUGUUGUGCGCUCUGAGUUUGCAGAAGGAACUGUGGGGGAUGUGCUGGAUCCUACUGGUUCUGGUAAAGAUAAUUUUUCUGAAACUGCUGUUGGGGAGGUGAAGGCUGAAAAGGCUGAUGAAAUGGAUAGCAGGAGUCAGCAUGCUGAAAGAGGAAAUAAUACACAAGAAAAUAAUUUUGGCUCAGAUUUUACUGAUCACAAGGUUGAGAAUUUGGAGCAGAGUCUGGAAGAUAAUCAUGCUAAAGAACAACUUAGCGGUGCCCAUGCUCUGAGCAAGGCGUCACCUGCAUUUUUGCAAGAACCAGGACAAGAAGCAGGGUGUAGAAGAUCAAAGUUGACUGCCACUGGUGCUGAUGUAGCUGAGGAAAGUAAAUCGGGUGCUGCAGAUGCUGCUUCACUAUGUGCUGUAGGGGGGGCAGAUAUUGUAGCGAAAGUGGAAUUUGAUCUAAAUGAAGGCUUCAAUACUGAUGAUGGGAGAUAUGGGGAACCAAAUAACUCGAGACCACCUGAAUGUUCUACUGGUAUUCAAUUGAUUAGCCCUUUGCCUUUACCUGUUUCUUCCUGUUCUAGUGGCUUACCUGCUUCAAUUACAGUGGCUUCUGCUGCAAAAAGGCCCUUUAUUCCUCCAGAGGAUUUACUGAAGAAUAGGGGAGAACUUGGUUGGAAGGGAACAGCAGCCACAAGUGCCUUUCGUCCAGCUGAACCAAGAAAAGCUUUGGAGAUGCCAGUGGGUACAGUUAAUAUCUCUGUUCCUGAUGCAGCUGUGGUCAAGCCCAGUCGACCACCGUUGGAUAUUGACUUGAACGUUCCAGAUGAAAGAAUCCUUGAGGAUUUGGCUUCUCGAGGUUCUGCUCGGGGCUCAAUUGCUGUAUUUGAUCUCUCAAAUAACCACAAUCCAUCACAUGAUCAAAUAAUGGGUUCUGCUGCUGUUCGGGGCUCUGGAGGACUUGACCUUGAUUUGAAUAGAGUGGAGGAUACAAGUGAUAUCGGCAAUCAUUUAACAAGUAAUACUUGUAGGAAGGAUGUGCGUCUUCAGGCAGUAAAAUCAUCAUCAGUUGCUGUUCUUAAUGGUGAGUCGAGUGUACGCAUGGAUUUUGAUUUGAAUGAUGGGCCUCUUGCAGAUGAGGGGAAUGCUGAACCAUCUUCAGUUGGCCAGACUGCCAGGAAUAAUGCAUCUUCACAACCAUCUGUUUCUAGCCUUAGGCUAAACCAUGCGGAAAUGGGUAACUUCUCUUCAUUUUUUCCUCAAGGGAAUGCCUAUCCAGCUGUUGCCAUUCAUUCUAUGUUGCCUGAUAGAGGAGAGCAGUCCUUUCCAAUUGUCAUACCUGGCGGGCCUCAAAGGAUGUUGGCAACCCCUACUGGCAGCACGCCAUUUAAUCCUGAUGCCUACAGGGGGCCAGUGUUAUCAUCUGCUCCAGCAGUUCCCUUUCCAGCUACACCAUUUCAAUAUCCAGUCUUUCCUUUUGGGACAAAUUUUCCUCUACCAUCAGCGACAUUUUCAGUCGGUUCAACAACAUUUCUGGAUUCAUCACCUGGUGGGAGACUCUGUUUUCCCACAGUGCAUUCUCAAGUAUUACCUCCUGCUGGUGCAGUCCCGUCCCAUUACCCAAGGCCUUUUGUUGUUAGCCUCCAGGAUAAUAGCAAUAUUGGUGGCUCUGAGAGUAGUUGGAAAUGGGGAAGGCAAGGUCUUGACCUCAAUGCAGGGCCUUUGGGCCCAGACUUGGAAGGGAGAGAUGAGACAGGUUCUCUUUCGUCAAGGCAAUUGUCCGUUGCCAGUUCACAGGCCAUUGCAGAGGAGCAGUCAAGGAUGUUUCAGGUGGCAGGCGGUGGCAUACUUAAGAGGAAGGAGCCAGAGAGUAGCUGGGAAGGUUAUAAGCAAUCCUCAUGGCAGUAGAGAUGCCUAGUCACGCACUCCAGUAAUCCAUGAGGCCCAUAAAUUCUCAUGUUCUUGGAUUGAUGCUGGCUAACUUCCAGAGGUCAUCAACUAACUCUUGCUCUUCAAGGAUGGGUGGUUAGUGAGUUAUUUGAUGCCAUUUUCUAUGAUCCCCGCCUUUGCAUCAUGAAGGAAUCUGUGUGGGGUCUGCUAGCUGGUAUUUCCUUGAAUAUGUCUUGGGUGGCAGCUGUUCACUUUCCCCUGUGUAGAUAUGUUAACUGUUGGAAAGCAGCAUGCAAUAUUUGUUGCCUGGACAGCUGGAAGCGUGCCUAUGCUGUUGUUCAGUGUAUCGACAUUUUUUAUACUGUUGGACCCAAAACCAUCCUUCCUUUUCCAACCUUUCCAAGAAUGAAGGAUUGUAGGAACUGGACGUUAUGUAGGAUGAUUCAAAUGACAGGUGAUCUGAUGUAGAGUUUAAUUGUAUCUGGAAAAAUUUGAAGAUAUAUUCUCAACGCCGCUGGUUCAAUUGUGUGGGGGUGUUGAAGUCUGUGUUGGGCGAGUAAUAAGAUCGAACGUGAUGAGAUUGAUUUGGUGGUGCUUAUUGCUCUCUCCUUCAGAAAUAUUUUUGAGACCCUUGUGCAUUCCCUUGUUCCUCCAAAUCUUGACCAUUUGGAAGCUUAAUUCUUUUGCUGAAAGGAAAUUGAACACAAGAAUAUAAAUAUCAUGUAAACAUUGUUUUAUAUUUUUAAAUCCGACGUGUUAUAGUGAUUA